UAAAGGAAUGGAAAUAUAUAUCCAUUGGUAAUAAUGUUGGCAAGUAAUAGUUAUCUGAAUACAUCAAUCAUAUAAGAAUGUAUAGACAAGCUGACAUAUUUCCCUAAGGCUAACAACACCCUGCUGCAGCUCUUUGUCAAAUAGGUAGUAGUUAGAACUGGAUUACCCUUUUCAUUAUAUAAUACUUUGUACCUCUAGAGCACUCUCCCUUUCUGUUUUCUUUUUUUUAGGUGGGAUUUUCUUUAAUUUUUUUUUUUUAUGUUUACUUAUUCCCUUCACAGAAAUCAGCAGUGAGCAGUCAAGUUACUGGAUAGACUUCAGUUUCAGAAAGUUGCCAGGGAUGCAUGAAGCUGAGAAAAGCAGAAACCUGGGAAUUAUGGAUUCAGUAUUAUAAAUGGUUUGGUGGCAUUGGCAUAUGAGGAUAAUCGGAUCUUGUGUUAUUGGGUAGUCUGGCAUGGAGGUGAGUGAGCUUCAACUGAGUCUUGUGAAAAAUACCCUGUCAUUACUCAUACUUUAUACUAUUUUUACUUUUUUGCUGUACUACUGUAUUAUCUAAUUAUUAGGUUUAUAAUACAUUUUUGAUUAUGGAUAUUUUGGUUCCCUUUCCCUUUAAAUAUUUUCCAGAAGAUGUAAUUUAUCCAUAUCCAAAGAGAAAUGAGGCUAUAUAACACAAAUCA
rnacentral:lncRNA from 13 species